AGUGGCAGACGGGUGAGUAACGCGUGGGAAGCUACCUUGUGGUAGGGGACAACAGUUGGAAACGACUGCUAAUACCCUAUGAGCCCUAUGGGGGAAAGAUUUAUCGCCAUGAGAUGUGCCCGCGUUAGAUUAGCUAGUUGGUAAGGUAAUGGCUUACCAAGGCGACGAUCUAUAGCUGGUCUGAGAGGAUGAUCAGCCACACUGGGACUGAGACACGGCCCAGACUCCUACGGGAGGCAGCAGUGGGGAAUAUUGGACAAUGGGGGCAACCCUGAUCCAGCCAUGCCGCGUGUGUGAUGACGGCCUUAGGGUUGUAAAGCACUUUCAGCAGUGAAGAUAAUGACAUUAACUGCAGAAGAAGCCCCGGCUAACUUCGUGCCAGCAGCCGCGGUAAUACGAAGGGGGCUAGCGUUGUUCGGAAUCACUGGGCGUAAAGAGUACGUAGGCGGACUGAUAAGUUAGGGGUGAAAUCCCAAGGCUCAACCUUGGAACUGCCUUUGAUACUGUCAGUCUUGAGAUCGAGAGAGGUGAGUGGAACUCCGAGUGUAGAGGUG
rnacentral:rRNA from 1 species